UAGGUAUAUUUGUGAUUAUCCUUUUUUUAAAUAUAUUUUUAUUAUUUUGAAGGGCAUUUUUGAUAUAAAUUAUAAAAAAUGGAUGGAAUAGUAAUGAAAUUCUAACCGAGGGGGGCUAAAUGCAACAAUUUGAAAUGUUUAAGUGGGUAUAAAAUGUAAGUUUUUGAAAAUUGGAAAGAGAAAAUAAAAAAAAAAUAGAUAUUUAUAAAA
rnacentral:lncRNA from 1 species